CCUACGGGUGGCAGCAGUGAGGAAUAUUGGUCAAUGGGCUUACGCCUGAACCAGCCAAGUCGCGUGAGGGAAGACUGCCCUAUGGGUUGUAAACCUCUUUUGCCAGGGAGCAACGCCGGCUACGUCUAGCCGGACUGAGAGUACCUGAAGAAAAAGCAUCGGCUACUUCCGUGCCAGCAGCCGCGGUAAUACCGAGGUUGCGAGCGUUAUCCGGAUUAUUUGGGUUUAUGGGAUGCGUAGGCGGAAUGCCAAGUCAGCGGUAAAAUCGCGGGGCUCAACCUCGCUCCGCCGUUGACACUGGCGGUCUUGAGUGGGCGAGAGGUAUGCGGAAUGCGUGGUGUAGCGGUGAAAUGCAUAGAUAUCACGCAGAACUCCGAUGGCGAAGGCAGCAUACCGGCGCCCAACUGACGCUGAGGCACGAAAGCGUGGGUAUCGAACAGGAUUAGAUACCCGUGUAGUC
rnacentral:rRNA from 1 species